rnacentral:rRNA from 1 species
GACGGAGGGUGCUAGCGUUGUUCGGAAUUACUGGGCGUAAAGGGCGCGUAGGCGGCCCUGUCAGUCGGGUGUGAAAGCCCGGGGCUCAACCCCGGAACGGCACCCGAGACGGCGGGGCUGGAGACCGGGAGAGGAGGGUGGAAUAGCCAGUGUAGAGGUGAAAUUCGUAGAUAUUGGCUGGAACACCGGUGGCGAAAGCGGCUCUCUGGCCCGGUUCUGACGCUGAGGCGCGAAAGCGUGGGGAGCAAACGGG